UACGGGGGGAGCAAGCGUUGUUCGGAUUUACUGGGCGUAAAGGGCGCGUAGGCGGCCACCGCAAGUCGACUGUGAAAUCUCUGGGCUUAACCCAGAACGGUCAGCCGAUACUGCGGGGCUAGAGUGCAGAAGGGGCAACUGGAAUUCUCGGUGUAGCGGUGAAAUGCGUAGAUAUCGAGAGGAACACCUGCGGCGAAAGCGACUUCCUGGACCAGUACCGACGUUCAGGCACGAAAGCGUGGGGAGCAAACAGG
rnacentral:rRNA from 1 species